UACAGAGGUCUCAAGCGUUUGUUCGGAUUCAUUGGGCGUAAAGGGUGCGUAGGCGGCGCGGUAAGUCGGGUGUGAAAUCUUGGAGCUUAACUCCGAAACUGCAUUCGAUACUGCCGUGCUCGAGGACUGGAGAGGAGACUGGAAUUUACGGUGUAGCGGUGAAAUGCGUAGAUAUCGUAAGGAAGACCAGUGGCGAAGGCGGGUCUCUGGACAGUUCCUGACGCUGAGGCACGAAGGUCAGGGGAGCAAACGGG
rnacentral:rRNA from 1 species